rnacentral:rRNA from 1 species
UUUCCUACGGGAGGCAGCAGUGGGGAAUAUUGCACAAUGGGCGCAAGCCUGAUGCAGCCAUGCCGCGUGUUGAAGAAGGCCUUCGGGUUGUAAAGUACUUUCAGCGGGGAGGAAGGGAGUAAGUUAAUACCUUUGCUCAUUGACGUUACUCGCAGAAGAAGCACCGGCUAACUCCGUGCCAGCAGCCGCGGUAAUACGGAGGGUGCAAGCGUUAAUCGGAAUUACUGGGCGUAAAGCGCACGCAGGCGGUUUGUUAAGUCAGAUGUGAAAUCCCCGGGCUCAACCUGGGAACUGCAUYUGAUACUGGCAAGCUUGAGUCUCGUAGAGGGGGGUAGAAUUCCAGGUGUAGCGGUGAAAUGCGUAGAGAUCUGGAGGAAUACCGGUGGCGAAGGCGGCCCCCUGGACGAAGACUGACGCUCAGGUGCGAAAGCGUGGGGGAGCAAACAGGAUUAGAUACCCUGGUAGUC